GAUGAACGCUAGCGGGAGGCCUAACACAUGCAAGCCGAGCGGUAUUGUUUCUUCGGAAAUGAGAGAGCGGCGUACGGGUGCGGAACACGUGUGCAACCUGCCUUUAUCUGGGGGAUAGCCUUUCGAAAGGAAGAUUAAUACUCCAUAAUAUAUUGAUUGGCAUCAAUUAAUAUUGAAAGCUCCGGCGGAUAGAGAUGGGCACGCGCAAGAUUAGCUAGUUGGUGAGGUAACGGCUCACCAAGGCGAUGAUCUUUAGGGGGCCUGAGAGGGUGAUCCCCCACACUGGUACUGAGACACGGACCAGACUCCUACGGGAGGCAGCAGUGAGGAAUAUUGGUCAAUGGGUGCAAGCCUGAACCAGCCAUCCCGCGUGAAGGACGACUGCCCUAUGGGUUGUAAACUUCUUUUGUAUAGGGAUAAACCUACCCUCGUGAGGGUAGCUGAAGGUACUAUACGAAUAAGCACCGGCUAACUCCGUGCCAGCAGCCGCCGCCGUAA
rnacentral:rRNA from 1 species